GACGAACGCUGGCGGCGUGCUUAACACAUGCAAGUCGAACGGAAAGGCCCUGCUUGCAGGGUACUCGAGUGGCGAACGGGUGAGUAACACGUGGGUGAUCUGCCCUGCACUUCGGGAUAAGCCUGGGAAACUGGGUCUAAUACCGGAUAGGAGCCAUUUUUCGUGUGGUGGUUGGAAAGUUUUUUCGGUGUAGGAUGAGCUCGCGGCCUAUCAGCUUGUUGGUGGGGUAAUGGCCUACCAAGGCGGCGACGGGUAGCCGGCCUGAGGGGGUGGACGGCCACAUUGGGACUGAGAUACGGCCCAGACUCCUACGGGAGGCAGCAGUGGGGAAUAUUGCACAAUGGGCGCGAGCCUGAUGCAGCGACGCCGCGGGGGGGAUGACGGCCUUCGGGUUGGAAACUCCUUUCGCUAGGGACGAAGCUUUUUGUGACGGUACCUAGAUAAGAAGCACCGGCUAACUACGUG
rnacentral:rRNA from 1 species